UACGGAGGGUGCAAGCGUUAUCCGGAUUCACUGGGUUUAAAGGGUGCGUAGGCGGAUAGGUAAGUCCGUGGUGAAAUCCUGCAGCUUAACUGCAGAACUGCCGUGGAUACUAUCUAUCUUGAAUAUCGUGGAGGUUAGCGGAAUAUGUCAUGUAGCGGUGAAAUGCUUAGAUAUGACAUAGAACACCCAUUGCGAAGGCAGCUAACUACGUGAUCAUUGACGCUGAUGCACGAAAGCGUGGGGGUCAAACAGG
rnacentral:rRNA from 1 species